rnacentral:tRNA from 1 species
AUUAAGAUGUCUGAUUAAAGUAAUAAAUUGUAAAUUUAUUUAAGGUUUUUACCUCUUAAUA